AGAAAAAAGGAUAGACAAAAGCUGCUAACUUUUAGUCUUAGCGGUUUAACUCCGUUAUUUUUCUA